rnacentral:rRNA from 1 species
AUACGGAGGGUGCGAGCGUUACUCGGAGUCACUGGGCGUAAAGCGUCCGUAGGCGGUCGGGUAAGUCGGGUGUGAAAGCCCCGGGCUCAACCUGGGAAGUGCACCCGAUACUGCUCGACUCGAGUGCGGGAGAGGAUGGCGGAAUUCCCGGUGUAGCGGUGAAAUGCGUAGAGAUCUGGAGGAACACCAGUGGCGAAGGCGGCCAUCUGGCCCGCAACUGACGCUCAGGGACGAAAGCGUGGGGAGCAAACAGGAUUAGAAACCCCAGUAGUCC